rnacentral:rRNA from 1 species
AGAGUUUGAUCCUGGCUCAGGACGAACGCUGGCGGCGUGCCUAAUACAUGCAAGUCGAACGCACUCUCGUUAGAUUGAAGAAGCUUGCUUCUGAUUGAUAACAUUUGAGUGAGUGGCGGACGGGUGAGUAACACGUGGGUAACCUGCCCUAAAGUGGGGGAUAACAUUUGGAAACAGAUGCUAAUACCGCAUAAAACCUAGCACCGCAUGGUGCAAGGUUGAAAGAUGGUUUCGGCUAUCACUUUAGGAUGGACCCGCGGUGCAUUAGUUAGUUGGUGAGGUAAAGGCUCACCAAGACCGUGAUGCAUAGCCGACCUGAGAGGGUAAUCGGCCACACUGGGACUGAGACACGGCCCAGACUCCUACGGGAGGCAGCAGUAGGGAAUCUUCCACAAUGGACGAAAGUCUGAUGGAGCAACGCCGCGUGAGUGAAGAAGGUUUUCGGAUCGUAAAACUCUGUUGUUGGAGAAGAACGUAUUUGAUAGUAACUGAUCAGGUAGUGACGGUAUCCAACCAGAAAGCCACGGCUAACUACGUGCCAGCAGCCGCGGUAAUACGUAGGUGGCAAGCGUUGUCCGGAUUUAUUGGGCGUAAAGCGAGCGCAGGCGGUUUCUUAAGUCUGAUGUGAAAGCCUUCGGCUCAACCGAAGAAGUGCAUCGGAAACUGGGAAACUUGAGUGCAGAAGAGGACAGUGGAACUCCAUGUGUAGCGGUGAAAUGCGUAGAUAUAUGGAAGAACACCAGUGGCGAAGGCGGCUGUCUGGUCUGUAACUGACGCUGAGGCUCGAAAGCAUGGGUAGCAAACAGGAUUAGAUACCCUGGUAGUCC